rnacentral:tRNA from 1 species
GGAGAGAUGUCCGAGUGGCUGAAGGAGCACGCUUGGAAAGCGUGUGUGCUCCAAAAGGGUACCGUGGGUUCGAAUCCCACUCUCUCCG